rnacentral:rRNA from 1 species
CGUGAGGGAAAGGCGAAAAGAACCCCGGCGAGGGGAGUGAAAAAGAACCUGAAACCGUGUACGUACAAGCAGUGGGAGCCCCACCACUAAGCCAGUGGUGAACUCCACAUACGCAUCCUUUGCUGAGGAUACGGUUAACGGAGCGAAAGCGACGUUCAACCGCAAAAGAAGCAGAGGGGGCUUAGUGGUGGGGUGACUGCGUACCUUUUGUAUAAUGGGUCAGCGACUUAUAUUCUGUAGCAAGGUUAACCGAAUAGGGGAGCCGGAGG